rnacentral:tRNA from 1 species
GGGGUCGUAGCUCAGUUGGUAGAGCGCUUGAAUGGCAUUCAAGAGGUCAGGGGUUCAACUCCCCUCGGCUCCA